CCUACGGGAGGCAGCAGUGGGGAAUAUUGGACAAUGGGCGAAAGCCUGAUCCAGCAACGCCGCGUGAGGGAUGACGGCCUUCGGGUUGUAAACCUCUUUCAGUACCGACGAAGCGCCUUUAACGGUGGUGACGGUAGGUACAGAAGAAGGACCGGCCAACUACGUGCCAGCAGCCGCGGUAAUACGUAGGGUCCGAGCGUUGUCCGGAAUUAUUGGGCGUAAAGGGCUCGUAGGCGGUCUGUUGCGUCGGGAGUGAAAUCUUACAGCUUAACUGUGAACUUGCUUUCGAUACGGGCAGACUUGAGGCAUUCAGGGGAGAACGGAAUUCCUGGUGUAGCGGUGAAAUGCGCAGAUAUCAGGAGGAACACCGGUGGCGAAGGCGGUUCUCUGGGAAUGUACUGACGCUGAGGAGCGAAAGUGUGGGGAGCGAACAGGAUUAGAUACCCUGGUAGUCCACACCGUAAACGUUGGGCGCUAGGUGUGGGGCCUAUUCCAUGGGUUCCGUGCCGCAGCUAACGCAUUAAGCGCCCGCCUGGGGAGUCGGCCGCAGGCUAAAACGUUAAUGAAUUGACGGCUGNGAGNGCGACGGACGACGACGAGGGAGGAGG
rnacentral:rRNA from 1 species